UACAGAGGUCUCAAGCGUUGUUCGGAUUUAUUGGGCGUAAAGAGCGUGUAGGCGCCAGACAGGUCCGUUGUGAAAACUAGAGGCUUAACCUCUAGACGUCGAUGGAAACCGUCUGGCUAGAGUCCGGAAGAGGAGAAUGGAAUUCCUGGUGUAGCGGUGAAAUGCGCAGAUAUCAGGAAGAACACCCGUGGCUAAGGCGGUUCUCUAGUACGGUACUGACGCUGAGACGCGAAAGCGUGGGGGAGCAAACGGG
rnacentral:rRNA from 1 species